UAAAUAAUUUUUGUAGCGUAAAAGCUAAAUAAAUUCAUACAUACUGUAAUACAGAUAACCAAAGUAUAAAAUUUAAUUUACAGUGACACGUGGACCCACGAACGACCAAAAGUAUCAAAAGUGGUAAACCUACAGAUUUUUUUUUAGGAUGCAAGUCCAACUGUAGCCCUCAACAAAGUGAGCUAUCUACCGACUAUCCUGAGCCUGAAAUAGGUGGAAAUGGGGGUGGUGAGAUUAUAUAAUCUCAAUGAGUAAACAAAUACCACCUAACAUAUCUAAAGCUGAGUAAAUGGAGACAGGUUAAAAUAGAUCAUCAUACUGUAAUUCAUCACCUUUCAACUCAUUUCAACCAAAUAAAAUCAAUUCAUAUAAAUUAAGUAAUCAACAUGGCUUAUGAAUUUCUUAAAACUUUGGCUCGUGCCAAAAUCAUUCUUAUACUCAGUUAUCAGGGAUACCUUGGCCGAGGGCUAUCCUAACCGAGUCCGCCAAGGCUAUUAAAAAGUUAUGUACGCAUAAAUCAUGUUUUUAUUUUGAAAAUAUAGUCGUUCCUUGGCGUUGGUUGAGUUCACCCUCACGUGGUGGUUUGGCGUGAAGUGAACUCUAAAGUGUUAACCUCAAGAGUUAUCCAUUCGCGCCUCUCAUACUGAGGUAUGAAUAUAAUAGGGUUACCGUGCCCCUUUAAUAGGCUGGUCCACGGAACUCGUUAACUACAGCGACUAAUCAAUAAUCCACCAAUUCAAUAAAAUUCAACAGCAUGACAUGGCAAUUUUAUCAUUAUCCAGCAUAUCAAGGCAAACAACAGUUUAUGCAUUUUCAGCACAAAUACCAAUUCAACCAUUCAUGCCAAUAUUAUCAUAAGCCAUUCAAUUCAAACCAUGAUUUAUAACACAGUAAUUAGUCUCCAAUUACUCCAUUUUCCAAAACCAUCUUUCAAUUUCAAGACAAUUUUAUAAAAUCAUUUCAUUUAAUCACAUUUUGUUUAUAAAAUAUAAAGAUUUACCAUUUAAACUCAUUUUUCAUAAAAUCAUAAAAUCAGAUAAAAACCACUUUAGAUAAUUAAGAUGAUAGUAAGGUCACCCACUAUUUCAGGAGUUGAAUUUCGAAUACUUCGAUUCUUGAUCUUUGGGUAUUAUCUCUUUACUUUUGCCAGAAUGCUCACCACCUAGACAUAAUGCACAAUAAGCCAUUUACUACAUUUGUACUAAAUUGUUGUAAAACCAAUUCAGGCCUUAUACUAAUGCAUGAAAUGAGAUGUAAAUUGUUCGAAUUAUCAUCUAAAGACAGUGUUCUACACAAAUUCAAUUGUGUACCUAAAUAAAACGGUAUUGGCCUAAUUCGAUCUAUCACUCGAUUAAUCGGCCAAUACGUCUAAUUCAACUCCAAAUAAUUCUAUUUUUCUCCCAAUACUCCAAAUCAUCAAACACAAAUUAAAUAACUUGAAAUAUGGCAAAAUCAUCCUCACAUUUUCUCUUGAAAAAUUCGGCCAUGGUGGGUGCAUCAACACUAUAAUUUUUCAAGCUAGAUUCUCACACCAUAAAUCACUAAUUCCUAACCAAAUCACUUGAAUUAAAAUCAAAAUCAUCAUCAAUAUUCCACAUGGAGAAUUCGGCCAAUGAUGGGUCAUGGAAGAACAUGAAUUUUUCUUGUUGGCUUUUCAUGCUAUACAUCACUAACUAACUAAAAACACUAAAAUAUAUUGAAAUCUAACCAAAUCAAGCAUCAAAACUCCUCCCCCCAUGUCCGGCCAGCAAGGUUAUCCUCAUGCAAACUUGAUUCUCAACCAUGGAAAAUGAAAAAGAAUGCAUCACAAGCUAGAAUUGAAAAAUCUUACCUUUUGUCACUUGAUUCUUUGAAUUUUCACACUUUUCCCUUGAAUUUUUCCACCUAGGUUUUUGUUCUUCUUCUUUUCUUCCCUUUUCUUCCUUUGGCCGGCCAAGAGAAAUG
rnacentral:lncRNA from 1 species